GAGAGUUUGAUCCUGGCUCAGAAUCAACGCUGGCGGCGUGCCUAACACAUGCAAGUCGAACGAGAAAGUGGAGCAAUCCAUGAGUAAAGUGGCGACCGGGUGAGUAACACGUGACUAACCUGCCUUCGAGUGGGGGAUAACCUCGGGAAACCGGGGCUAAUACCGCAUAACAUCCCUGGGGCGAAAUACCUGGGGAUCAAAGGAGCAAUUCGCUGGAAGAGGGGGUCGCGGCUGAUUAGCUAGUUGGUGAGGUAACGGCCCACCAAGGCUUUGAUCGGUAGCCGGCCUGAGAGGGCGCACGGCCACACUGGAACUGAAACACGGUCCAGACUCCUACGGGAGGCAGCAGUGGGGAAUUUUGCGCAAUGGGGGAAACCCUGACGCAGCAACGCCGCGUGGAGGAUGAAGUCCCUUGGGAUGUAAACUCCUUUCGACCGGGAAGAUGAUGACGGUACCGGUGGAAGAAGCCCCGGCUAACUUCGUGCCAGCAGCCGCGGUAAUACGAGGGGGGCGAGCGUUGUUCGGAAU
rnacentral:rRNA from 1 species